rnacentral:rRNA from 1 species
CAGUAGCCGCGGGAAUACGAAGGGGGCUAGCGUUGUUCGGAAUUACUGGGCGUAAAGCGCGCGUAGGCGGAUAUUUAAGUCAGGGGUGAAAUCCCAAGGCUCAACCUUGGAACUGCCUUUGAUACUGGAUAUCUGGAGUUUGGGAGAGGUGAGUGGAAUUCCGAGUGUAGAGGUGAAAUUCGUAGAUAUUCGGAGGAACACCAGAAGCGAAGGCGGCUCACUGGCCCAAUAUUGACGCUGAGGCGCGAAAGCGUGGGGAGCAAACAGGAUUAGAUACCCGCGUAGUCCCUGUCUCUUAUAC